rnacentral:rRNA from 1 species
AACGAACGCUGGCGGCAUGCCUAACACAUGCAAGUCGAACGAGACCUUCGGGCCUAGUGGCGCACGGGUGCGUAACGCGGGGGAACCUGCCCUUAGGUUCGGAAUAACUCCCCGAAAGGGGUGCUAAUACCGGAUAAUGUCUUCGGACCAAAGAUUUAUCGCCUUUGGAUGGGCCCGCGUUGGAUUAGCUAGUUGGUAGGGUAAAAGCCUACCAAGGCGACGAUCCAUAGCUGGUCUGAGAGGAUGAUCAGCCACACUGGGACUGAGACACGGCCCAGACUCCUACGGGAGGCAGCAGUGGGGAAUAUUGGACAAGGGGCGAAAGCCUGAUCCAGCAAUGCCGCGUGAGUGAUGAAGGCCUUAGGGUUGUAAAGCUCUUUUACCCGGGAUGAUAAUGACAGUACCGGGAGAAUAAGCUCCGGCUAACUCCGUG